UAAGACUCCCGGCAAUGGAUAUCUUGGCUCUUGCAUCGAUGAAGAGCGCAGCGAAAUGCGAUACGUGGUGCGAAUUGCAGAAUCCCGUGAACCAUCGAGUUUUUGAACGCAAGUUGCGCCUGAGGCCAACUAGCCGAGGGCACGUCCGCCUGGGCGUCAUGC
rnacentral:rRNA from 8 species